rnacentral:snRNA from 1 species
UCGUCUGACUUGGGUAUA